UACGGGGGGAGCAAGCGUUGUUCGGAUUUACUGGGCGUAAAGGGCGCGUAGGCGGUCAGCACAAGUCAGUUGUGAAAUCUCCGGGCUUAACUCGGAAAGGUCAACUGAUACUGUGCGACUAGAGUGCAGAAGGGGCAACUGGAAUUCUCGGUGUAGCGGUGAAAUGCGUAGAUAUCGAGAGGAACACCUGCGGCGAAGGCGGGUUGCUGGGCUGACACUGACUCAGGCACGAAAGCGUGGGGGAGCAAACAGG
rnacentral:rRNA from 1 species